rnacentral:rRNA from 1 species
GAUGAACGCUGGCGGCGUGCCUAAUACAUGCAAGUCGAGCGAACAGAUAAGGAGCUUGCUCCUUUGACGUUAGCGGCGGACGGGUGAGUAACACGUGGGUAACCUACCUAUAAGACUGGAAUAACUCCGGGAAACCGGGGCUAAUGCCGGAUAACAUGUUGAACCGCAUGGUUCUACAGUGAAAGGCGGCUUUGCCGUCACUUAUAGAUGGACCCGCGCCGUAUUAGCUAGUUGGUGAGGUAACGGCUCACCAAGGCAACGAUACGUAGCCGACCUGAGAGGGUGAUCGGCCACACUGGAACUGAGACACGGUCCAGACUCCUACGGGAGGCAGCAGUAGGGAAUCUUCCGCAAUGGGCGAAAGCCUGACGGAGCAACGCCGCGUGAGUGAUGAAGGUCUUCGGAUCGUAAAACUCUGUUAUUAGGGAAGAACAAAUGCGUAAGUAACUGUGCGCGUCUUGACGGUACCUAAUCAGAAAGCCACGGCUAACUACGUG